rnacentral:lncRNA from 1 species
CCGUACUAUUCAUCAUCUGUUCACACUAAUCAGCUCUCCAUAAGUUCAGUAUAAAGCAUAGCAAAUCUACUCCUUCCAUCAAGAAAUCACCAAGCAUAACCUUCUCAUACCCAUUCCACACUUAAACGUCUUCAUCAUUCUCUGCCAAAGUAAUUUUCAAGUAUCAAUUUAAUUCAAUAUUCAGCAAUCCAAUCAAGCAUCAUUCAAGGUAUUUCAUGCUAUCUCAGUUCACUCUCUUCAUAUACAUAUAUCAUAUCUCAGUAGAGCAUGCUUCAUAUAUUAGAAAUGCAGUAGAUAAUAAGCAUGAUUAAUUAGUUACAUGGCACUCUGUAUUCACAAGCGAAUAGAGAAAAGAACACCAGAACUCAGAAAACAAAUACAGACAUAGCAUACGCAUACACAUAAAGUAUUAAGUUCUGUUUUUCUUACGCAAAAAGGGUCCAUAGACAUUUAUACCAUAUCGAUGAUUAAGAAUCAAGGCAUAUAUAACUUAGCUUUUAGAAAGACAUCGAACGCGGCCCUGCGCAGUCGAGCCGCAACAACGGCAACUUCCUACGGCCUCAUCGGAGCCCGAGAACGACAGCAGCGGCUGCCGAGGCUCCAGCUGGCGACGGUGGCGGCAACUCCAGACGGCGGCGGACUCCUCGGCGACGGCUGGCAGAAUUACGCCGGCGUCAGAGGGACGCGAGGAUGAUGGUGCUGUUCGCCGGUCUCGCUGCGACGACGGCAGAUUUGUGACAGCAGAAGGCCGCGACUCCAUGAACAGCAGCAGUCGGCGCGACUCCAUGAACAGCAGCUCCACGCGGCGACCUCGCCGUGAGUCCCGGAGCAGCAGGAAGCGGCGCUCCUCACCGUUGAAGAAGAAGAAGGGGGGAUGGUGGCGGUGAGUUGAGAGAGCGAGAGAGGGAGAUGUUGAGCGGCUCUGUGUGAGGAAUUUUGGAGAGAUAGCAGCGUUUUAAUUGAUUAAAAGAGAGAGUGUUCCUUACUUUGAUAAAAAAAUAGAGAGAGAGAUUAAAAAAAGUGUGUGUGCGUGUGUUUUGUUAAAAAGUGUGUGUGCAUGUGUCUUGUUUUGAGAAGAGAGAGAGAGAUUUAAAAAAAAAAAGUGUGUGUGCGUGUGUUUUGUUGUGAGAAGAGAGAGAGAUUAAAAAGUGUGUGUGCAUGUGUUUUGCUUUAUAAAAAAAAGAGAGAGGGAACCGAUGAUAGUGAGGAUAAAAGAGAGAGAGAGAACCGAUAAAAAGAGAGAAAGAGAUGUCGGUAGAGAGAGAGAUAAAGAGGCGUGAAUUUGGGGAAGAAAAGGGGAGGAUUUUGAGCCGGUUUGGGCCGAAUUUUUGGGCUCUCUCAAUUGGGCCUAGUUCAUUUAAUUUGUUGGGCUUUAGAAUUUAAUUGAUGUUGGGCCUAAUGAUAUUUAUGCAUUGGGCUUUGAAUUUAUUCAUUUGGUCUCGAAUUAAAUUCCUAUUGGGCCUUGAUUAUUUUAUUGGGCCUUCAUAAUUAUUCUAUUAAGUUUAAUUAGAGAAAAUUUUAAGACUUACUAAUUAUUAAUUAGUAAGUGAAUUAGAUUAUUUUAAGAUGAGUAGAUUAUUAAAGAUUAAUAAAUCCGACCUCAUAAGACGAGCUUUAAUUCCCUAAAUAAGAUUAGCAUCUCAUAAUUUAAUUAAAGGAAUAUGAGUCAUGCAUAAUCAUUUCACGCAUCCUCAUUUAUUGAGAUUUUUCGAGAAUUAGAAUCUUAUUUUAUUUUCUCGGAUUAAAGGUCAAGCACCAGAGUUAGAGCUAAACCGUGAGUCUGCUAUUCAGGUGGGCAAUUUCUUACGCGUAAAAUAAAAAUGCUAUUGAAGAACUAUGCAACUUUCAUGCUUUAAAAUGCAAAAAUUUGAUUUUUAAAUGAGUUAUGCUUUAUUAUGCUUAAAUGAGUUAAAACUUUAUUUCUCUUUAUUAUCUACGCUUGUCACGCUUUAAUAAUUUACGCUAUGCUAUUUACGCUUAAUUACGACUUAAAUUUUUAUAAUUUAUUAUUUAUGCUUUGUUACGCUUUUAAGUGAUUUACGCUUAAGGGAGUUACGCUUUGUUAUGCGCCUAUGUGGUUCACGCUUUGUUACGCUUUAAUGCUUUACGCUUAUUAUUUAAACGCCUAUGUGAGUUACGCUUUAAUGCUUUAUGCUUAUUAUCAAAUGCUUAUGUGAUGAUGUUAACGAAUUUGAUUUCUGAGCGAAUAGCUAUCUUGCCAAGGAUAUAUAUAUAUAUAUAUAUGCAACGCGACCGUGAGUCAAUGAGAGGGUUGGCCGGUCAAACGUCCGUUGAGGGAGGCCUCCCUCAACGGUACGAUGCUAGCGUCUGUUGGGGGAGGCCUCCCUCAAUAGUACGAUGCCGUGUCCGCUGAGGGAGGCCUCCCUCACGGCGCGAUGCCUGUGCUCGUUGAGGAAGGCCUUCCUCACGACACGAUGCUUCUUAAUAGGACUUUUGAUGAUGAGGAAUGCACUUACGCUAUUUAUGAAUUUGAAAAUGAUAGUAUGCAAAGAACUGGAAAGAAGAUUCAUGUCGCUUAUAUGAUGAUGUGGUUUGAUGAUAAAAUGUUAAGCUUAUAAUUUAGUUUUUGGCAACUGCCCACUAAGUACUUUUGUACUUAGCCCUGCAUAUGUUUAUGAAUGUGCAGGUUGAGCUGUGAUGAACGAUGAAGUGUUGCUGAGUGGAGCUUUUGUCGAACUUAGAAUAGGCUCAGAAAGGAUAUGUGUCUGCAUACAUGUAUCUCAGUCUUGCCUUCCGCUGCAAACACUGAUUAUGUUUUAGUCAAGUCUAUAAUUAUGUCAAUUACUCUUCAAGAAAUAUUUAACGCUUACUCGGGUUCAUCGAGUAUCCUUUUUAACUAUAUGCGUCAAUCUUUCAAUGUCUUAAAUUUUAUUUCAAGAAUUAAUGCUAGAUAUAAAUGUCUAUAAUCGAGUUGUAAAUGAGUCAAAUGUGCCCUCUCUAACCCCGCUUCUUAAAUCCCUUCCCUAGUCACGAUUUCCCGGAUUAGUUAUCCUUAGCAAGUGCGGUCGUGAC